UGAACGCUGGCGGAAUGCUUUACACAUGCAAGUCGAACGGUAGAGGGGGCAACCCCUUGAGAGUGGCGAACGGGUGAGUAAUAUAUCGGAACGUGCCCAGUCGUGGGGGAUAACGUAGUGAAAAUUACGCUAAUACCGCAUACGAUCUAAGGAUGAAAGCGGGGGAUCGCAAGACCUCGUGCGAUUGGAGCGGCCGAUAUCAGAUUAGGUAGUUGGUAGGGUAAAGGCCUACCAAGCCAACGAUCUGUAGCUGGUCUGAGAGGACGACCAGCCACACUGGAACUGAGACACGGUCCAGACUCCUACGGGAGGCAGCAGUGGGGAAUUUUGGACAAUGGGCGAAAGCCUGAUCCAGCCAUUCCGCGUGCAGGAUGAAGGCCCUCGGGUUGUAAACUGCUUUUGUACAGAACGAAAAGGUCUCUAUUAAUACUAGGGGCUCAUGACGGUACUGUAAGAAUAAGCACCGGCUAACUACGUGCCAGCA
rnacentral:rRNA from 1 species